rnacentral:lncRNA from 1 species
UACACAAAUAAACAGGCCCCAUGGAGCUGGCUUCGUAGGAUGAAACUGUAAUGCACCAAGAAGUAAAGGAACAAUUGGGUUUCAUGACUUUAAAAGUCCAACAUUGGGAAGAAACUUCCAGAUCAGAAGAUAUAAGAAGUACCUUAAAGGGAUACAGAUCCUACUGGCAAUAUACAUAGUGUUUCCUCAAGAAUGAUCCAAUUGUUGUUCCUUUAAAGGAGGUAGGUCACUAUUAUUACUGUGGUUAUUAUUGCCUGGAGGAUCUCUGAAUAGCACAGACUGAUGAUUUUAGCAAUGCAGCUCCAAUAUUAGUUUUCAUUUCUGGUGUACUAGGUUUUGAGAUGGCCUGAGAAGCAUUUUGUUGCUAUGGAGUCAAGGUCCUUUUUUAAUUUUACAAAGAUGAAGUUUGGAAUUCAUACUAUGAUAGGAAUAUAAGGAUCAGAACAGUCUUAUAAGAUAAUAUCUUCCUUUUGAUAUGUUGAAAGGAGUGGCUAUUACAUUAUUUCUUUUUGGUCAGCAGAGUCAGUUGCACGAUGACAGAUCCAGCCAUGAAUUAAUUCAGAAUAGUAUCUAAAAGAAAAAUGAGCAAGAGUUUGUUUUUCCUUAUGUGACAGAAAAAGAUCUU